rnacentral:rRNA from 1 species
AUUGAACGCUGACGGCAGGCCUAACACAUGCAAGUCGAGCGGAUGAAGGGAGCUUGCUCCUGGAUUCAGCGGCGGACGGGUGAGUAAUGCCUAGGAAUCUGCCUGGUAGUGGGGGAUAACGUCCGGAAACGGGCGCUAAUACCGCAUACGUCCUGAGGGGGAAAGUGGGGGAUCUUCGGACCUCACGCUAUCAGAUGAGCCUAGGUCGGAUUAGCUAGUUGGUGGGGUAAAGGCCUACCAAGGCGACGAUCCGUAACUGGUCUGAGAGGAUGAUCAGUCACACUGGAACUGAGACACGGUCCAGACUCCUACGGGAGGCAGCAGUGGGGAAUAUUGGACAAUGGGCGAAAGCCUGAUCCAGCCAUGCCGCGUGUGUGAAGAAGGUCUUCGGAUUGUAAAGCACUUUAAGUUGGGAGGAAGGGCAGUAAGUUAAUACCUUGCUGUUUUGACGUUACCAACAGAAUAAGCACCGGCUAACUUCGUG